rnacentral:pre_miRNA from 1 species
AGGAGGAACAACCCCAGUGGCGGUGGCCAGCUCUGGAGCCCUGGAGUCAGCUCCCGCAGUAGUUACAGAGCUCUUCAUCUGUAGGGCCUGGAUGCUCCGGGGGCGG